rnacentral:rRNA from 1 species
UAGGGAAUUUUGGACAAUGGGCGAAAGCCUGAUCCAGCAAUGCCGCGUGUGUGAAGAAGGCCUUCGGGUUGUAAAGCACUUUUGUCCGGAAAGAAAUCCUUGGCUCUAAUACAGUCGGGGGAUGACGGUACCGGAAGAAUAAGCACCGGCUAACUACGUGCCAGCAGCCGCGGUAAUACGUAGGGUGCAAGCGUUAAUCGGAAUUACUGGGCGUAAAGCGUGCGCAGGCGGUUUGCUAAGACCGAUGUGAAAUCCCCGGGCUCAACCUGGGAACUGCAUUGGUGACUGGCAGGCUAGAGUAUGGCAGAGGGGGGUAGAAUUCCACGUGUAGCAGUGAAAUGCGUAGAGAUGUGGAGGAAUACCGAUGGCGAAGGCAGCCCCCUGGGCCAAAUACUGACGCUCAUGCACGAAAGCGUGGGGAGCAAAACAGGAUUAGAUACCCUGGUAGUCCACGCCCUAAAACGAUGUCAACUAGUUGUUGGGGAUUCAUUUCCUUAGUAACGUAGCUAACGCGUGAAGUUGACCGCCUGGGGAGUACGGUCGCAAGAUUAAAACUCAAAUGAAUUGACGGGGUCGUAGCUGUUUCCU